GACGAACGCUGGCGGCGUGCUUAACACAUGCAAGUCGAACGGAAAGGCCCUGCUUGCAGGGUACUCGCGUGGCGAACGGGUGAGUAACACGUGGGUGAUCUGCCCUGCACUUCGGGAUAAGCCUGGGAAACUGGGUCUAAUACCGGAGAGGAGCCCUUCUUCUUGUGAUGGUUGGAAAGUUUUUUCGGUGUAGGAUGGGCUCGCGGCCUAUCUGCUUGUUGGUGGGGUAAUGGCCUACCAAGGCGGCGACGGGUAGCCGGCCUGAGGGGGUGGACGGCCACAUUGGGGCUGGGAUACGGCCCAGACUCCUACGGGGGGCAGCAGGGGGGAAUAUUGCACAAUGGGGGCGAGCCUGAUGCAGCGACGCCGCGGGGGGGAUGACGGGCUUCGGGUUGGAAACUCCUUUCGCUAGGGAAGAAGCCUUUUGUGACGGUACCUAGAUAAGAAGCACCGGCUAACUACGUG
rnacentral:rRNA from 1 species